CAUCAUGGAAAGGGGCUGGAAUUUGUUGCAGUUCUUAUUGACAAAUCUUUUGGGAGGAAUUUUUGGAAUCAUCUGUUCUGUUUCCCUAGUAACAAAACUGAAGCAUGCCAAGAAGAGCAGCCUGCCUGCUCUCAUACACAGAGGAGGCUCUGUUAUGGUCUGGGUUCGCUUUGCUGCAACUGGCAUUCUGGAGUGAAAGGUGCUCCAAUGUGUCAGAAGGUUUGGUCUCAGUCGCAGGUCACAAAUCUUCAACAGGAUGAUAACCAAAACACCCAAGGACGGCUAAGAAAAAGAACUCAAGUGUCCCUCUGCCGUCUGCAUUGUCAUCCUGUUAUUAAAUACAUUUAAUAGACACAUAGUCAACCAUCCCACAGCUCAUUGCAUUGUGGUCCCAUCACGCCUUGGGCAUUGAAGCCACCACUUUCUGUGAUGAAUACUACAUCGUAAAAUCCAUUUGAAGUCUGCAACAAUCAUUUCAUCAAGAAACAUUCAACACUGAGAUGCUUCUUUCUGAAUUGCUCCACAUGCUGCCCAGCAGGACGCUGUAUUGGCACUCGUACAAAGCCACUGAGGAGUCUU